UAGGGAAUCUUCGGCAAUGGGGGGAACCCUGACCGAGCAACGCCGCGUGAGUGAAGAAGGUUUUCGGAUCGUAAAGCUCUGUUGUUAAGGAAGAACGAGUGUGAGAAUGGAAAGUUCAUACUGUGACGGUACUUAACCAGAAAGGGACGGCUAACUACGUGCCAGCAGCCGCGGUAAUACGUAGGUGGCAAGCGUUGUCCGGAUUUAUUGGGCGUAAAGCGAGCGCAGGCGGUCAAUUAAGUCUGAUGUGAAAGCCCCCGGCUCAACCUGGGAGGGUCAUUGGAAACUGGUGGACUUGAGUGCAGAAGAGGAGAGUGGAAUUCCAUGUGUAGCGGUGAAAUGCGUAGAUAUAUGGAGGAACACCAGUGGCGAAGGCGACUCUCUGGUCUGUAACUGACGCGGAGGCUCGAAAGCGUGGGUAGCAAACAGG
rnacentral:rRNA from 1 species